CGCGUGCUUUCAGACGGUGAGCAUGUGGAUAACGAGCUGGCGGCUACCGGCUUGGCUGCCUCUGCGGCGCCGGAGAGGACAGUGCGCAACGAGAACGAAAUUAUUUCUGAAGCACCAGCGAAUCCAGACUAAACGAGUUUAGCAUGCUACAGCAAUAUGGAAUUUCUGAAGGUUAAUGUGCAAAAUGCUAGAAAAUCUUUGUCACCAUAUUAAUCGUUAGGAAGCACUUAUCAAAGCCUACAUCAAGGGCCUGUGACAUGUGGAGCGACAUCCCAGAAUGCAGUACGGGAUCGACUACUCAUCCAGGGGACAGGAAUAUGUCAUAAGAGAGCCACCAUAGGAGCAGAGGGCCGCCAGCUCACUGGAGAUUCAACAUGUCUUCAGCUACGAGCUCUUUUGCUGUUAAUUAUUAUCAGAAUCCCACCUCAGUGAGACAAGGCGUUUCCGCUGCCUUGUUGCCAGGAGGAUCUAAAUGUUUGAUGCAUAACUACGUGAAAUUUAAUUUAAUCUGGCUUUACCUGCAUAUGGAUUCAACUUCUUGCUCUUAGGUAACCAAUUCACAUGGCGGAAAUGAAGAAACAACCAACGCUUUGCAUGGACGAGAACAGAAUACUGGCUAAAAAGAGUGCAUCUGACUGGUGUACGAAAUAGUCUCCCAGUAAUGUGUCCUGAGUCAGCUCCGUCUUCCAUCUCUUAGCCACCAUGAAAUGACGAAACAGUCGACGCCUUGCAUUAAGAAGUGUGAAAAACUGCCUAAAGGGGGAGCAUCAUUCUCUGACUGGUGCAAAAAAUAGUCUCCCAGUAAUAUUCCCUGAUCUGGCUCUGGCUUCUUUGUCUGUAGCGUUAGCAAGGAUGCAAUGUGUCCACAACAUGAGCAGUUUCAGGGUCCGUUUUUACGACUCGCCUUGAUGCUGAUGAGGUGCUACACCGCUGUGGGGCUGACAACGUCACCCCGCUUCAGCAGCCUCCCACUGGACGGAGCCGACGCCGUACGCUGCCCAUGAGAGGAAGCCACUUGAUGAUUUCAGCAAGCACACUCCACCAACUGAGACCAGCCUGCGUCUUGGGGUCACUGACCAAUGCCUCACAAUACUGCUAUUGUUGUAUCUUUCACUCGGAAUAAACACAGCUAUUUAAUUUU